rnacentral:antisense_RNA from 1 species
CUCGAUGGUGGCUGUUCGCAGGGCGCCCUCGGGCGCACCGGUACGUACUCCCGGUCGACUAACCUGCUUACAGCCGCCACCCUU